GGUGUCGACGCAUCCCGGCCGGCAGAGUGCUGCCUGCUGCUCUGCAGCGCUGCCUGUGCCGAAUCGGCUCCGAGGGGGAAUUCCUCUGUGCCGCCGGUAGGCUGCAUCCUGCGCUGUUACCGGGCGGGGCUUCUUUAAAAAUCACUGCGUGCAUCACCGGAUCCACUGACACGGACUAUCUUUAACUAUGGGAAUAUUCUUCUGCAGCCAUCUCUGCAAUGAACCGCACUCAGUGCCCUACUUCCCUUGCUCAGGGAGGCUCUGAGGGUGAAUCUGGUCAGGUAUAGCAGAGGCAGCAGUGCUCACAGCAUCCAGACGCUUCAUGAGCCUCACUGCAGUAACUACAGCCUGCCUUACCAGACGCUCGGGGGGGGUGGUUUGAAAUAAUUGUAAGGAGUGCUGUUACAUUUUUAACGUUUCCCUUCUCUUCUGUUACAUGGGUCAGAGCCUGUGUUCUAAAGUGCAGCCUGAAUUGCCUCUGAAAUCAGAAAUGUAAAUGCCUCAUGAUGCGCCAAAUUAUUUCCUUUCCUUUUCAGAUGUUCUCAUUCUCCCCUUCUUUGACUUCUUAAGGUGAGCAACCCCUGGGGUGUUCUGCUGUACUGCUGAUGCUUAGCAUAUGGAAGCUGAGAAACAGAUGUAUGCGAUGAGGGCCGCUCUGACGAUCGUCUGUCAAACCAUGGGCAGCACCAGGAGGAGCACCCCGGGUCUUCUGGCUCUCUGUAGCCCACCCUGAGCACUGCAGCCUGCCUUCUGCUGCACAUGGUGUGAUUCAUAAUGCAGAGGCUCUGCUGUAAGCUGGCUGCCUCUUUGUGAGCUGCCGCUGCUGCAGCAGAGAAAAGCGUUUGAGCUCAGGCAGCAAAGAGAUUGUGCAUGUCUAGCAAAUAGUCAGAACUCCAGAAACAGUGCUUAACAGAUUAUCUUAUCUUGGGAUAAUCUCAUAAAGCAUACUGACUGGUUAAAACUACGCUUUGAAGUUUGCAGCAAACAUCUCAAAUCUUUACCCUUUGUGACUGUGGGCUUUUUGUUUGUUGUUUCCUCCAUUGUCUGUACAAAAAUACCACUUCACGUAUUCUUUUUGAUAGUCUGUGUUCUAGCCUUUCUGGAAAAGUACCAAAUCAUUAAUGGGUAUUCGUUGCUUUUAGUUGUGCUUCUCAGUGCUAACCCUAUUCCUGCUAUUUGCAGUUUGUUUAGGCUAUGUUUAGGCACAUGCAAAUGUAAGUGGUUAUUCAGCGCCUUUGGCGUUCUGAACAGAAUGUCCUGAACUCCCGUGGCUCCUUACAAAGCCUCAGCCUCCAGCACUAACAAAGCCUGUGACGGCAGCAGCUGAAGCAUGAGAACUACCUGCCCUCGACAGGGUGAAUUCGGAGAAUCUGGGAAGGUUGUAGACCAUGAUCUCAUGCAUGCUCUGCCUGCAGCACUGGAGCUGGGCUGAUGCAGCAUUGCAUGCGGUGUGUGGAUUCUUCUGCAGCAUGAAGUUUUUCUCUGGCUGCAUCAACACUUGGGUUCAGUGUGUUCCUGAAUUAUAAUGGAGACUUCUACAAAUAAUGCAGUAACUGGAAGUGAAGCGAAACCGUGUGAUGCUGCGGCCUCCCAAGUAUCUGCUGGCAGCAGCCUGGGAUUUUUACAGUUGUUUAUCUUGUUGCUCAGCCUAUUUUAAGCUCUGGUGGACCAACAACAGCAGAGUAACGACAGAUCACAGUGCUGGGCACAACUGUUUAGCUCCUAAAACCCAUGCUUUAAGCUUCAGACUUGCUUUAUAUUGUCAUGUGUUCAGUAGCUUCAGACUUGUGGCUUCAGGCUCGUAUGCUCUUUGCUGGCUCUUGCAUGAUGUGAGGGAGCCCUGAUUCACCCCGAGGAGUGUGGUGUAUCCAGGCAAGAAAGAGGCUGCGGCAGUGAUGGAAAGCGCACGCUGUGCAGGGCAGGGCCCAACCUCAUCCUUGGUCCAGCUCCCACGAUGGAGAUACAAAGAGGUUUUUAUCUCCCAAGUCUUCUUAUUGGAUCUUCUUUAUCAUCUGUUCAUUUGUGCCAGAGUCAAUUAAUUUCUUGGGUUUACUGAGUAGGUAGUACACUGUGUAAGACUUUAAUAGGGAGCAGUAUAGGAUAAAUCUCUCCUAUCCUGGAAAUGAUUCAGCUUCUAAUGCUGAUUCUGUACUCAUCUGACUCUGGUACACUGAUUACAUGGUCUCCUACCACACAAAAUAUUCUAGAAGUGGUGCUCUGCAUUUUCCUCUGUCUCCAGACUUGGGACUUCUGAGAGCAGCUUGUCCUGCAGGCUCAGCUCCCUGUUUUUUGGUGGAUUAGGUGCAUUUGUGGUUACUGACAAGUUUAGGUUCAUUGCAUUUGCUUUAACGCUGUGUGGAGCAGGACAGAAAGCUUGUUGAUUCUUGUAAUGAUGGAGCCACAUAAUGGAUGGAGCCAGGACAGGCAUGUUCCCCAUCUGGGGGGAAAAGCAGAACCGUCAGUGUCAUGAAGUCAUGCUGGGGAGUAAAAGGAAGUGCACAGCUGGAGAGGUGGGACAGAGGGGAGGUGGGGGGAUGUGAUGGCUGUACCUCAUCUACUUCAGGUAAUCACCACAAAAGCUCAGGAAAGUAAAUUGCCAAGCUUGUUUCCUUACCCUCACUUCACAUUUUUGGGUGGUAAAGGAAAUCACAGGGCAUUUAGCUGCUCCGUUUCAUACGGCUACUUUUCAAGCCCUGUGCAGAUAACUAAUACUCAAAAUAUUAACACAGAUUUGCUGUAAUUUGAAAUCCAGUUUCUACCCAUACAUUGUCCUACCCUUGGGUUAUAAUGGCUAAACUUUCAUCAGAACUCACCCUUUAUUUUGUUUCCAAACUGCUGAUGCACAUGCCUGUCAGGGGCAGCUGUGCACUGCAGGCAUACACAGAAGACAUGGAGGGCAGGAGCAGACCUCUGCAGCUGGGAGUCCGUGCUGGGGCCUCUGGGCACUGUGCAAAUUGGCUCCAGGGACCUCGUGUGUGUGUGAAAGGAAAUCAUGUUCUGCACCGAAGUAAGAUCAUGGCUACUGAAAUCUCUAUGCUGCGUGCAAUGCAGAUUAGGAAGAAAUCCGGAGCAGCUGUUACAUUACAGGAAACUGCAGUUCGUCCUGUCGUGGCCUAAGAGCUUGUUACUGUGGGUGCUGUUUUCCCCAGAAGAGCCUUGCAUGCAGCCAGCAGGCAAACUGCUGCAGUUCAGCCCAGUGCAGGUCUGUAAGACCCCCAGUGCUGGCUUUUCAGUCACUGAAGCAAUCUUGUUGAACCAACUUUAAUGAGAAACCUAAACAAUUUGUUCAUUUAAAAAUCUGCCUAAUUGUGUCUGUUCUAGAAUGCAGCCAAAUGAACCAAAAGUAGUGCGAACAGCAAGUUAUCUUGUUCUUUGCUGGGCUGAUCAUGGAGAAAGAGAGAGAGAGAAUUUGCUGCUGUCUCCUCUGCACCGCUGAGCUCAUGCCUGGGACAGCUGCACAUCGUGGGCCCAGGAGGGCACUGAGUGUUUCAGUCCUCCACAGCUCUGAAGCCACGCUCAAACCAUGCAGUAGCAGGGAGAGGAGAUCCCAGAGUGGGGGUCCCGCGGCCAUCUGCCCUACCUGCUCUUCCCACCAGCAGCACAGCCUCAAUCCAGCCCCUCGGAAAGGAAGAAAAACACACUUUUUGCCCUCAGAAACUAGGAAAAGCCAAAGAAAUCUCUCUUUAGGACAAGGCCGAUGCUGUAUCCUGUCUUGUUUUUACUAAGUCAGAUCUUUUUUUCCACUGGAUCUUACUCUCGUGUGUGUUUUGUUGCUGUGUCCUUCUGUUGUUUUCAGCUUUCUGCCGCAAGAUGUGGAACUGUCAGAUUCCCAAUCAGAUCAACACCUUUAGGAUUUGUUUGACUUCCAAUACGCCUUCCUGAAGUUAUUGCUGACUAACGCUGUGAAAUCAUCAGUUUUUUAUUUUGAAUGUCUAAAACACCGUAAGAUUUCUUGAGGCUACUUCUCACAAAGAGAUUGCAGUUGGUGUCCUUUGCUCAUUAUUACAGGAUGUGAGUCAUUUUGAAGAAAGAGAGGGGGGGAGGACAAACAAAAACCCUAUUUUUCUCAAAGCUCUGAAAAUAUAUUUUGUCCCUGAUCUGAGCUGUAGUUUGAUGUGAAUAUGAGAGAAGCCAGGGCUGGCUGGGAGCUCUGCUGGCCCUGAGAUGCACAGAGCACGUGUCCUGCAGCAGCUGGCUGUGGGGUGAUGGCCCUCCUUACUCAGAGGAUGGGUACAUCCCUGGGCUGUAAUGUGAUAUAUCUUGAGCAGCUGAACACUUUGGAGCUUGUGAAGAACAAUACAGAGGGGCUGGAUUUUGUUGCGUUUUGAGCUCUUCCUGGAGAAAACAAAUGGAGUACUGUGGGUAUUUUUUUUUUAUUUGUGUAAUCUUGAGGCAGAGUAUCACAUAUUGCAGAGGAUGAUUGAAGCAGACAACGUUUGUGCUGGUUCCCAGUAUGGAAAAUGUGAACAAGACAAUUCUGCAUCACCUUUCCUUUCUGGGACCUGUGAGUACUGUCAGUGUUGCUGCUAUUUUAACUCAAGGACUGCUGCUCUGUGUGGUGUCAGUGCCAUUGCUCUGCAUGGAGAAGUGUCACCUUCCCAGGGGUGCAGCACAUGGGACCUCUUGCACUCCUCUGCCUGUCUCGGGUUCCUCAUGCUGUGCCCAUAUCGUGCCCUGUUCAAGCCAGGAGGGCACAAAGGGACCAAAGGGCUCAGCAGUGGAGAAGGAUAUAAAGUAAGCAAAGGGAGAUGAGGCGCAGGUCUGAGUAGUCGUGUGAGUGGCAGCCAGGGGAGGCCAGGGCACCUUCAUGGUGCCAAAACCUUUCUGCGGCUGUGCCUAGCACCCUGUGCUGAGGAAAGAGCAGACUUCUGGAACUGUUCUCCUGUUCUUCUGGAUGGCGACAAGUGUGGCUGCUGUAGUGGUACAUUGUGCAAGGCCAGAGAGCCACCCCUUCCUCAUCAGACCUGGAAAAACCUGGCUGAUGCUGAAGAAAUCUGUCCCAGUCACGUUCCCAGCAGCCAGCGCUGCUGGGGUCAGAUUCUUUGCUCUGGCAAGCUCACAGGGGCACGUGGAAGGCUAUCAGCAAGCUCAUCUGCUGCAGCUAUCAGCUCUGUGAAGCUCAUGGUACCCAACCAGAUGUGAUAUUUUAGUGGUAGACAAUACAGUGCCAGUAGGUGGAGUCUGUAAGGAUAAAAUGGCCAGCUGAAUUCUGCCAAUGGAGGACUUACCCAUGUGAAAGACAGCAACUACUUGCUGGAAGCAGCUAGAAGAUGCAGAACUCUCAGACAGCCUUUUAGUUUCUGAACUGACUUGGAAGCACCAAAACAUUAACAGAACUUACAGGCUCUUAUUAAGGUUACUUUUUCUUGCUACAGUCUCAGGCAGAGGCACAGGUUUUUCAGAGCAUAUACCUACAAUAAAAGUCCUUUGUGUAUUUGCCAUCAUAAUGACAACAGCAUCAGGCUUGACUGAAAAGCAGUUCGGGUGUGCAGGAGCUUCCCUUUCCUGGACCGAUGGGUUCUUAAUGUCAGCAGAGUCGCCUCAUCUCCACUCAUCUCAUUAUCCAGCUUACUCAGCUGUGAUGCAACCAAAAUUGCCCCAUGGCUUGUUACCUCAGAAGUCUCCAAAAGCUCAUGGGCUGUGUACUCUAUGAAGAGAAGUAGUGAUUCAGUGCUAAAACUGGCAGAGGCUGCCCUUGCUUCAUAUUAGAGCUUGUUCCUCUGUGUGCGCACACUCACGCGUAUCUCCUCUCUGGCACCUUAUCUCUCUCUUCUCUUUAGUGCUUUAUCUCACUUCUGCUCUUUAGUGCCCAUUAUCUCUUGUUGGCUUUCUGUAUUACAGGGUGUAGGGACACUCUUUGGGAGGAGUGCUGUGAAUCAACCUCAUCUGUCAUCUCCAGGAGAGCGUCUGUAGGGUGAGGCGUGUUUCACAUGAGUGUGCUCCUCCUCCUACUGCCGUACAACGUACACACAGCCUUCCUUACUGCUGGCUGCUGGAGCACAUCAUGUACUUCGGUCUCUUUGCUUGGAGUGUUUUUGGCAAUAACUGGAGCUAAGUUACCCUGCUGCCGGCUGCCUGCAGUUCCACCACCCUGUUCAUUUGUAUCCUCCCUUUAAUGAACAAGAGAAUACUUACGAAAAUACAGUUGAUGAGUUUCUUAAUCACCUGUCUGUAAAUCACUUUCCUUCUCUGAUUUGUAAUUUCUCUAUGCUUUUUUCCAUCUUUCAUGUAGUGACCCUGGUUCUCCUCCUGUUUUUCAGCAGCAUGACUCUACUGCACACAAAGAGAUGAUGGAGGGGUUGGGCUGGUAUAAGUAAGGAAGACCCAGUCCACAGGUAGUUUUGUGCUUUUACAGCUACCUGAAGUAAUGUGAGGAAAUGGCUGUUGUCACACGCUCACGUUUCUGCAUUCUGUUGGCUGAGUUUGGGGGAAUUAUGUAGAGCAGUUGCACUGCAGCAAGCAGUGUGCUAGUGGAAGACUCUCCUGUGCUUCUGUGGCUUCAGGAAACUCAUCUGCUAAAUUGGGAGCUGGUGGGCAGAACUGAUCCCGGUGCCGUUGCAGUGCAGUGUCACUGCCUGUGGAUGGCUGCCCUCAGCCAGCAGUUGCAGCAGAUGAAUAGCUGGCAGGAAGGUAACAAGCAACAAACAGACACCGCCUCGUGGCUGUUUUCCCAGUGCCCAGAUGUAUGGUGUGCUCCGGGACGAUGGGGACCUCCCUCUCUGCUGCAGUAGACACAUCUAUUAUUAGCUCAGUGGCAGCUUUCCAUAUGCCAACACUCGUGUCUGCAGGACUGUUUAAUUUUCACUUCUCCAAAGUACUUAAUUUGUCAGCUGUUGGCUUCUGUUCAUUAAAGACCAAACUUCAAAUUCCUCUAUUUUUUUCUGCUGGAGCUGAAUUACAGAUCCUAUCUGAACAGACCAUCGUACCUAUGCAGAAUUAGGGGCAGAAUGAUGUCUUAAAUCCAGAAAGUCAGCCUAAGGCUACUACCAGGAAAAAAAAAACCUGUCUCUGGAAAUGGCCGCCCAGUCUCCAUUUUUCUGUUAAUUUCCAUUCGGAGAAAGGAGAAAUCAGUUCUGCCAAAAGCACUCCCUAGCUGUGCUUCGGUGCCGGGCUGGGGAUGUGGCACACAGCUGCCAGUGCCCCUCUGCAGGCGCUGCCACUUCUCUGGUGGCUGAGGAUGGUGCUGCCAUGAGUUAAUCACCCACCAAUUCACUGCUGGGGGCCUCUCUUUAAUUAUUGAAUGUCACAAUAGAGGUAUAUUGCAUUACCUUGCUGGUAAAUAUCAUUUUCAGCAUCUCAUGUAACUCUAUAAUAUUCUCAGUUUUCCUACUUGCAUAACAUUAAAUCUUCAAAGAAUCUAAAAAUGUCCCACUAUAUUUUUAUAUGUUGCUUAUAUAGCAGUGUGUGUUUCCAGAGAAUUAUAUGCUGACUUUGAAGAUGGCCUUCCUGGCAGUUGGUACUGUAUGAUUACUUCUGUUGAAAGCCGGGCCUCUACUUGGAUGUGCAGUGGAAGGAAGCAGCAUGUGCACAGUGCUUUAUCAAGCAAAUGGACAAACACACCCCAGAACAGCAGCCAAAUGUCGGUCUCACUUACAGAAGCUGAACUGGUGUGAUCGUACAUCAGCUCUGUUUCAGCUGGGGUAACAGAGAGCAGAGAUUCUGGUGCCUUAAGGAUCCCUCUGAGAGAAGACCACUGAGAAAAGAUGUCAAUGCUCCGCAGCAGCUGGGGGGUAGGCAGUGAAAUCCUUCUGUGAGCUAUAUAUCCACCUUGCCUUUUUCUGCUCACGCAUAAUUUUAAGCAGCACGCUUCCUCAGAAUGAUUGUAGGGUUGAUGAAUAUGACUGUCAAAAUAUAUACAAAAUUGAGUUACAAUAUAAUGUAGCUUUUGGAUGUUAAACAGUCUCAAAUAACAAGCAUUCCUAUAUUAUUUUUUCUUAUGUGAGGAAAAACCUCUUUGAUUUUCACUGCUUUGAAAAAUCUCCUUGUGCUGCUCCUUCCCUUCCCAAGGAAGGAAAACGUGAGCGGUAAUGGGUAUCCUGCUCUGCUCCAUCCAGAGGACGUGGAAAGCUUUGUGCCAGCUCCUCUGGAUGCCCGUGAGUGCUUCUGAUCCCGCAGCAUCCUUCAGCUGAAAGCUGGUGGGCCCUGGAGCCCAGCACUGCCUGGUGCUGCCCUGCUCUGUGAUCCUGGUGCUAUUCUGGCAGCUGCAGGAGGACAGCACUCCUCCACCUGCUUGUGUUUCAGGGUGAGAUGUUGUUAUCUGUAUUCCUACUCCCCAACUACUGAGAAUGAACGAUCUUUGUUACUUGGUGUGGAUCUUUUUGUCUUUUGGAGAUCAUCUGUUUGAGUUUGUGAGGAAUGUGCUUCCUUUGCCAUCGCUCGCCUUGCUCCACAGGAGUGGUUUGUUUCCAAGGACCUGAUAUUAGAUUUUGGUGGUCAGCAAAACCUGGUACUCAGCUGUUGUAGCCCAAGCUCUGGCUGACAUUUCCUGCAGCGGCUGCAACAUGCAGUUCUGGUCCUGCAGUGCACAACACAAGAAAAGCCUUCUGUGUCCACGCAGAGCUUUACUGCAGACAGCUGACACAGCACACGGAGUCUGGGGGCAAGAGGAAAAGUCCCCACGUGUAUCUGUUACCUUUUGUAUUCUGCAGCAAUGCAAACAAGUGCCGGCGUUUGUCCUCACUCCUCUCCCUCAGCUCUGCUGUUAUGAACCCAUCGGAGGUGGUAGAUCUGCAGUGGGUGACAAAGGGGCUGCACAGCCCAUGGCCAUUUGUUUCUGCAAAAUCAUCUGGAUAAUGGAGGCUCCACCGUCGAUGCAGUUUAUAUCGAAACACCAACUGGGGCAAGAGGAUUUCUCAUUCCUUACUGUGCAAGAGGAAUAAAACAGCUUUCAUCUCAUUUUCCAAAUGGUGCUGAUUCCACGAGGGCCUGCUGGCAACGUACGAAGGACCUGGGAGGAAAGGCGAUGCCGCGGUCCAUGGAACAUCUUUGCAUUUCAGAGUUCGGGAGGAGUCACAGUGCCGUCUGAUGCCAGGCAGGCACACGCGCAGCCCGCGCCCACCCAUCGCGCCCAUGGCGGCGGCGGCGCCCCGCGUUCCGGAGCCAGGAGGGCGGAGGGGUGGGGGGGGCGGGCAGCGCUGCUGGAGCUGCUGGCGGAGGGCUCCAUCUACUGCUGCGCAGAGAGAAUGCUAAGGGAGCAUCAGAAGGUUCUAGAUUCUUAGAUUCCCACGAGGACUUAACUGGUGAUCAGUCCGUGCUGGUGUCAGGAAGAGUUCGUGUUCACAUUGCUUAACUGUGAGAGCUCAUCUGAAGUCAUGGGAAUGGACGAUUUGGACUGGAGUUCAGCCUGGCACAGCAGAGAACAGUUCUGUCCCCAGUGCUUUCCAUCUUUCUUGGUGACACAUCCCCACAGCUCCCCGGUACGCCCACUGGCACCACAUCUGUGCUCCUUGGUCUGCCUUAAAAAUGUACUCAAUGGUGAUUUUUUUAUUUUUAUUUUUUUGACUGAGUUCUUCCUUACCACGAAACUGAAUCGCCCACUCCUCGGAGGUAAAAAUGGGGCUCUGAACUCAAGAAAGAUGAUUGGGUUGAGGGUGUUGAGUGUAUCAGGAGCACAAAGGACAGCGCUGGCCUUUGUUUUACAUAUGCUAUGCAUGUGCUUAGUGCAUCUAUAUGCGUGUCUGCUUUGGAUCCAGAUUUUGAGGGAUAUGGGAGGCACUGAGGACAGCACAAGUCAUGGCAUAGUCAGGCUUUAGUUUAGAGGCUGUGCCGGGCUCUUCUGCUUCUGAAGUGGGCACAUAGUUGCUGCCUUUCCCUCUGCAAGCACGGGUAGCUGCCAGCCUGCAGCAGGGUGUCUGCCAUGGCGGGGAUGGGCCCUCUGCUCUUUGGAGCCUGAGCACAGCUUUGCAAGUUCUCCCAGUGACAAAUGCAUUCCUAGCAUUGGAUUUUCCUGUGAACAAUGAUGUGCUACCUGAGCACCCUAUGUGCAGUUGUUAUACUAAUUAGCUCUGUACUUGUGUGUCGGUAAUUAUUUGGUAAUUCAGAGCUUCAUGUAAAUUUUCUGAAGUGUCUUGUUACUGUUUGAAUAUGUAUAGCUGCAAACAUCUCUGUAAAAUUGUAGCAUCGUUGCAUGUAAUCGUAAAUCAGAGCUCCCAGCACCACCCUCUCCAAAGCCAUCAUGUGCUUCCCCAUUCCAGAGCAUCGCAUAGCCGCUCCAUCCCUGGUUGCAGCAACACCAGGAACAGCAGAAAUGCUUCUCUGACACAGCUGCCAACAAUUAAACUGUGUGAGGCUUUGCUGGUGGAGGUUACGAAGAAGCCCUUAGAAAUCUGAAACAGCUUUUGAAAACAAGCACUGAAAAUAUCUGCCAGAAGCCAAGGAAUAGAUUACAGAUGGCAAACUGAUGUCUCCCGGACUGUCGGGGAAUGAUUUGGUUUGACAAAUGGCUGUGAUCUACUCUGGAGCUGUGCGGAAGAGGAACCAUCAGGCUGCAGUGUACAGAAAUAAUCAAGCAAGAUUAAGCAUGCCUGGUGCUGAUAUUUAUGGGCGGAUCUGUCCUUACAGCCCAUGGCCAGAUCCCUUACAGCUGGGAGAUGGAGGGCCCUGCAACACUGCCGCUUAAUUUCUGUGCCAUGUCUGUCAUCUGUGAACCCUUCAGACCUCCUCUAAGGGCUUCUUUGAAGAGAGAAGGAAAGGCAGCAUCAUUCACCUAUGGACCGGAGCACAGACGUGGUAAGAGAGGCUGCAGACAUUUCUGUCUGUGAUGCAGAACCUUGCAAAGCUUUCUUCAUUCACACCGUAUAAGUAAAUUCGGCCUGUGCCUAACUGCUGCAAACCUUUUCAAAGCAAAUAUAUUUGUACAAAGGAAUUCAGAACAGAAAUGGAAUUUGCUCGUGGAUCAGAUUACUGUUAUUUCUGGCUGGAAGCAGUACCAGAAAUACUUGCAGGGAUUUCCACUUUGCCUUUGGAAAGAGGUUGCGUGUGUUGUUGGUAUAAAAGGAGCUCCGUGGGAGGUUAAUUCACGUACACAAAGAGACGGGAAAGGAGAUGAGACCAGCGAGGCUGUCACAGCCCUGGAUGUGGCUGCUGAGCUGUGCAUUGUAAUGCUCAGCCCCAGCCCACUUCUGAAACGCAGCUCUUCAGUUGUUGCUGUGAGCUGCAGUCACUGCUGUUUGGGAAGAGACAUUUGGAGCCCUGAGUCUGAGCUUUGUACGGCACAGUUCCCUCGAGGGCUUUGCCAGAUAACUUCAUGUAGAGGAUGCUAAAUGAAGUGUUAUUUUGAUAGUUCUUUGAGCACUGGUCAUUUGUGACGCUGCUCAAAGUGCUUUUACCUUAGAGCACAAACCUACAUCUGAUGGGAGCUUUGCGCCGGAGGUAUCUGGUGUUUUAAAAUAGAUGGAGUUGAUCAGAGUGAUCUGUAUUUUGCAACCAGCUUUAAACAAAGCCUCAUUUCAUUUCAAAGUGCUCUCCUGACCGACAGGCACUUGUGGAGAUGGACAGACGCACAGAGCUGCGGAGGGGCCGGUGCUGGGAUGGCAGCCGCACAGCCCGCCAGCAUGGCACCAAGUGCCUUUGGCCCUGGGGUGCUGGGACAGCGGGCAUCACCGGCAGAGAGAGGUGUUGGGGAAUACUGAGGACAGCCAUGCACUGCAGACUUCGAGUAGAGAAGUACCCAAUCUCUCUUAAUGUACAUGGACUGUUCCAGAAUGCAGUCAGAGUCCUCUGAUAACAGCCCCAAACGUGGAUCAAAAUGGUGGGAUGAACCGAUGUCUGCGGUAUCGUAUCAAAGAACAUUUCUGUUCCUGGCAAAGUGUGAAUUCUAAAGCAAAGAAGUAUGAAAAGGUUUUACUUCAGAAAGGUGAGGUCUGCCACUAUGCCAGCGGGGUUGGAAAUGUUACUUUUCCCCCCAUAAAUGCACUUGGUAUCUCCGAACACCCAGUGAAGGCUUCUCAGCUGGCAGCAUUUUCCCGCCAUCUUGGCUGAGUUUCUCCAUCCCCCUGUAAGGCCCGGGCACACAGGAGUGCGUCACCGAGGAGUGAAUGUUUGGGCUCUUCUGAAAUGCACGCAGACUCGGUG